CUAUGAAAGUUUUUUUACUGAACUGUUUAUGUGACUGACAUUGUAUUUGGAAAACUAACUCAUUUUACUGUACACAAGUAUUUUGAGAGACAUAUAUUAUAGACUGAUACCCUAUAUUCUGUUUACAGUGUUACUGGCAUACAGUGCAGAGUAGAAUAUAUGUGGAAGUUUCUCUGCUAACUACCGUAAAAACUCGAAUAUAUCACGCUAGCAUGUAUAUGACGCACCCCCGAUCUUGUAUCAAAAUCUUGGGGAAAAUGCUUACAUUGGAAUAUAUCACGCGAAAUCAGUCGAAAACGUUGUUUACAAAGUCGAAAUCGGCCAUUAGCGGCAUGCGUAAAAACGAUUUCUCGUGAAAAUCACAAUUGCUGCAUAAUCGGUUACAGACAACAGUGACAAUAACUGACAGACAAAUUAUUUCUAAAGUAUUUGAGAACUUUCUCAAGCUGUCAACACCUUAGCACUUUAACAGACGUGCGAACAAACAUCUCAUAAUUAUGGGCACAUCAAACGAGAAAAUCGCGGCUAAUUAGCGUGUUUGUUUAACAAUGUACGAGCUGCUAUAUUGAUCAGUAAUAAUUUGCUGGAAGAAAUAACAAAGGAUCUGUUUUAAUUGCAAUUUAUUUGAGCAUCCUUGAAAGAUAAUGAUUUUAACGAUCAAACACCAACAACCCGGAACCGCAAAAUUUUGUAUUUUGUCUAAUUAUUAAACUGACACAUUAUCUGGUGCUCUGGAUAUGUACGAUACUUAUUAAUCAAAUUUACAAAUACAAAAAAUUUAAACUCACAAAUAAAAUCAACUUUACCAUAUAUCAUCAGAGGUUCUGUUCCGUACGUGUUUUUAGACCCGCCCAAUAAAACGCUCUCCAAGAGGAGGUUAAAAAUGUAAAUACAUGACAGUUGACAAAAUUGUCCGAUUUUCGCCGAUAUUUUCGGGUUUUCAAGCUGGAAAAAAAUGUUUGAAGCUCUACCUUGGUAUAUAUGACGCAUCCCUUUAAGAAAAUGAAAAAAAUCGUAAAAAAACUGCGUCAUAUAUUCAAGUUUUUACGGUAUGAGAUAUUCUGGGCAAAUUCAUCAAAUAUGAAAGUCGGAAAUCUAGACUAGGACUUGAGAAUAAAUUUGUUUUUGUUCCCUGCAAUUUUAUUUUUAAGACACUACAUUCUAGUUCUUCAAAAUUUUCUUGAUGUUUGCAUAGUUUUAAAGUUUACACUUCUUCUAGUUUUAUGUGGAGCCAAGUCUAAAAUUUCACAUAGAAUGUUUAUGAAUUGUGGUACUGAUAAAUGCUGUGAAAUACUUGUGAUAGAUUCUGGCCAUGAUUUCUUUCUGGCAAGUUUAUUACUUUGUACAUAUAUUAAAUAUAUUUAGUAUAAAAUGCUUGGAAAUAUUUGAAUUUCAGUAUUAGGAAAAUGCUCUUUUAAUGUUUUAUGAUAAUAUUUUAACAGACAUAUUUUAUUUAAGCUGUUGGCUAAACAUCUGUUUGAUAUAAGACAAUACUGUGAGAUAUGGUAAAGAAAAAAAUGUAUUCCUGAUUUUAGAUUAUAAAGAGCUGGUCUAUACACAGUUACAUGGUUAAUGUUAAAUUAUGGUAUUGACUUGUGGACAGGGUAAAAAGAGGUUUUAAUGUUAAAUCAUGGUAUUGAGUUGUGGACAGGGCGAAAAGAGGUUUUAAUGUUAAAUCAUGGUAUUGAGUUGUGGACAGGGCGAAAAGAGGUUUUAAUGUUAAAUCAUGGUAUUGAUUUGUGGACAGGGCGAAAAGAGGUUUUAAUGUUAAAUCAUGGUAUUGAGUUGUGGACAGGGCGAAAAGAGGUUUUAAUGUUAAAUCAUGGUAUUGAGUUGUGGACAGGGCGAAAAGAGGUUUUAAUGUUAAAUCACGGUAUUGACUUGUGGACAGGGCGAAAAGAGGUUUUAAUGUUAAAUCAUGGUAUUGAGUUGUGGACAGGGCGAAAAGAGGUUUUAAUGUUAAAUCAUGGUAUUGAUUUGUGGACAGGGCGAAGCGAAAGGAUGUAUUAAUGUUAGAUCACGGUAUUGACUUGUGGACAGGGCAAAAAGAGGUUUUAAUGUUAAAUCAUGGUAUUGAGUUGUGGACAGGGCGAAAAGAGGUUUUAAUGUUAAAUCAUGGUAUUGACUUGUGGACAGGGCGAAAAGAGGUUUUAAUGUUAAAUCAUGGUAUUGAGUUGUGGACAGGGCGAAAAGAGGUUUUAAUGUUAAAUCAUGGUAUUGAGUUGUGGACAGGGCGAAAAGAGGUUUUAAUGUUAAAUCAUGGUAUUGAGUUGUGGACAGGGCGAAAAGAGAAUUUAAUGUUAAAUCAUGGUAUUGAGUUGUGGACAGGGCGAAAAGAGGUUUUAAUGUUAAAUCAUGGUAUUGAUUUGUGGACAGGGCGAAGCGAAAGGAUGUAUAAAUGUUAGAUCACGGUAUUGACUUGUGGACAGGGCGAAAAGAGGUUUUAAUGUUAAAUCAUGGUAUUGAGUUGUGGACAGGGCGAAGCGAAAGGAUGUAUAAAUGUUAGAUCACGGUAUUGACUUGUGGACAGGGCGAAAAGAGGUAUUAAUGUUAGAUCACGGUAUUGACUUGUGGACAGGGCAAAAGGACGUAUUAAUGUUAGAUCACGGUAUUGACUUGUGGACAGGGCAAAAAGAGGUAUUAAUGUUAGAUCACGGUAUUGACUUGUGGACAGGGCAAAAAGACGUAUUAAUGUUAGAUCACGGUAUUGACUUGUGGACAGGGCAAAAGGACGUAUUAAUGUUAUAUCACGGUAUUGACUUGCGGACAGGGCAAAAGGACGUAUUAAUGUUAUAUCACGGUAUUGACUUGUGGACAGGGCAAAAGGACGUAUUAAUGUUAUAUCACGGUAUUGACUUGUGGACAGGGCAAAAAGACGUAUUAAUGUUAUAUCACGGUAUUGACUUGUGGACAGGGCAAAAGGACGUAUUAAUGUUAUAUCACGGUAUUGACUUGUGGACAGGGCAAAAAGACGUAUUAAUGUUAUAUCACGGUAUUGACUUGUGGACAGGGCAAAAAGAUGUAUUAAUGUUAUAUCACGGUAUUGUCUUGUGGACAGGGCCACAAUAUAAGCCACUUUCCCAAAGUCUAAAGAAAGAAAACUUAUCUGUUUGUGCCAUCACCAGAGUUUAACCUACAUCCAGGUCUUUAUCACAAUAAGUGAAAGAAAUAGCUAGACUAGAGAGGUGCUUACAUGUUCUGUUUGACCGGAGGUAUUUUCACCCAUAGCAUAACAAUAUGUUAUGGUGUACGACUCUGAUAGAAAGUCUACAUGGCUUUCACUUGCAUAAAUGUAUAUAGGUACCCAGGCAAUGGUCAUUAUUUUCUCGUGUAACUUCACAACUCAUAAAAGAAACUUGGUGCUUCCAAUUUUUAGCUCACCUGAGCAACUAUGAUAACCUUGUGUUCAUCAUCAUCUGCCAUGCAUGGUUUACAGACUGUGAAUACUCUAGAGGUUUCAGUUUUGGUGCAGUCGUAAUGAAACUUGGUCAGUAUAUUUUUCUUAAUAAAGUCUCCAGCAAGAUCAAAAUUAGAUCAUCUAGGAUCAAAAACUAAGUUACUAGGUCAAAUAAUAGAAAAACCUUGUAACCACUUUAGAAGCCAUCCUUUCUACCUGAUUUCUGUGGAAGCAGGUUUGAAUGUUUUGUCUCUAUGAAAUUGGGAUCAUGUUUGAAACUGGGUUAUCUUGGGUCAUAAACUUGUCACUAGGUCUUAUAUAGAAUAAUCUAGUUAUCUUUAUAAUCUCUUUAGGCCAUAUUUUCUGCUUGAUCUUUUUGAUACCUAAUUGGUAUAUUUGUCUUUAUGCAUCUAGGUCAAGUUUGAAUCUGGGUCUUCUGGUGUCAGAUCGUAGAAAAAACUUGUUAACACUCUAGGGGCCAUACUUGUUUCUUGAUCUUUAUGAAACCUGGUCAAAUUUUCUUCAUUAAGUCUAGAUCAAGUUCGAAAUUUGAUCAUCUUGCAUCAAAAAUUGAAUUAAUAGAACAAAACAUAGAACACCUGUGUUGACACUCUUGAGGCUAUGUUUUCAACAUAAUCUGUAUGAAACCUGAUCAGAAUGUUUUCCUUCAUGAAAUAAAGGUUGAAUAUGAAUGUGGAUCACUUUCAACAACGUUGGGGUCUAAAACUAGGUUAAAUCAAAGAAAAAUGUUUUGAAUACUGUAGGGCCCAUAUUCUACUUGAUCUAUAUGUAACCUGAUCAGUGUGAAAUCUAGAUCAGGUUCAGAACUGUGUCAUCUGGGGUCAAAAUAUAGGUCACAGGACCAAAUCAUAGCAUUGUUAACACUAGAAAACUUACUACCAAGCUUAAAGUCAUAUUUUCUAAAUUUGACUCGAUGAAAUAAAUGACAGUUUUGAUACUGGGUCACUUUUGCAUAAAAUCAGGUUACUAGCCCAACUUAUAGAAAAAGAUUAACAUUAGAAAUCACAUUUUUGAAUGGAUCUUCAUUAAACUUCUUGUCUGUCUAGUUUUAUACAAAAUAGCAUCGUUACCUUCUAUGAUACAGUUUGUCAUGGCAUAUAUUUAUGGUGAAACAGUUAAGAUCAGGUGAGCAACUUAAUCUUGGCCCUCUUGUUACCCUAGAUUAUUUGUUUUCAAGUUUUUAGAUUGAAAUGCAUUAUAUCCAUAGAAUAACUAUAUUUUGUGCUAGAUAAAUAUCUUGAGAAGUGAUUGAAUUUUUCUACUGUAAUUCUUUUAGAUGAAAGUACUUGACAUAUCAAUACUAUAGCUAGUGUUACACCUCAGUGUUUACACUCAAUACAGCAACUGAAUCAGUAUGAUAGGUGAAUAUUAGUGUUACAGUGAAAUCAUUGGAUUUUGUGGGUAGGAAACCUUGUGAUUUGACUAAAACAGCUAUUUUGUUUGUGGUUUUCAUUUUUACUUUUGAAGAUUAAAUGAAAGGAAAGUUUAUGUUUUGUUGGGAUUUGACAUUGGUGAAAGUUAGUUGUGCAUGGAUAUCAGUGAUACGUCAGUAUUGUACUGCAGCUCACUAACAUGCACAAUUGACCAAUUAUGUCCAGUAAACAAUAGUAAGUCAUUGAUCUCAUUACUUUAAUGUGAACUAGUACAUGUAGUUUGUGAAUUAUAGACACUAUUCAAGAUUCAGUUUUAGCUCACCUCAGCGCUAAGUGCUUCAGUUGAGCUAUUGUGAUCACACUGUAUCCGUCAUUGUGCGUCAUGUCAUCAACAGUUUACUGUUAACACACUAGAGGACACAAGUUUUGCCUGAUCAUAAAGAAACUUGGUCAGUAUAGUCACAACUUGGUCAGUACGUAGAGUCACAAACAAGUUUAAUACUGAGUUAUCUGGAGUCAAAAUAUAUUAGAUAAGCUUAUUAACAAAUAGAAACCAUAUUUUUUACCUUAUCUUCAUAUAUAUAUGUCGGAAUGUUUGUCUUUAUGAAAUCUAGGUCACGUUGGGUUCAGAAGUAGGUCAUUAGGUCACAUCAUAGAAAAACCUACAAUCUAGAAGCCACAUUUUAUCCUGAUCUUCAUAGAAUAUUGUCAGAAUGUUUAUAUUUAUAAUUUGUUGGUUAAUUUUAAAAUGGGUUACCAAGGGGUCAGGUCACUUGGUCAGAUUAUAGAAAAACAGAAUAUGAUAUGUAUGAUGAUCUUGGUCUGCACUGGUCGCAAAGGCAAAACCACUUGCCACCAGCAGGCUAAAAGACUAAAGGUUAAAAAUUUCAUGUCAAGAUUGAGAUAUUAUCAUAUGAGGUCAAAAACUAUGUCACUGUCAGAUCAUACAAGAAACUUUAACACUUCAGAGGAUGUAUUUUAGACCUGAUUUGCAUGAACCCCUUUAGAAAAUCAUUUGUCUUGAUGAAAUCUAGGUCAUAUAUGAAAAACUAGGUCAUAAGGUCAGAUCAUAGAAAAACCUUGUUGGUAUUGAGGAUAUUUUUCAUCUGAUUAAGGUAGUACAUGUUCAAAAUGAGUGUCUUGAUGAAAUCUUAGCCAGGUUUGAAACUGGAUCAUCUGGGCUUUAAAACUAGGUCACUAUGUCAAAUAGUAGAAAACUUGUGUUAAGAGGCAAUAUUUUCUACCUGACCUGAAUGAAACAUGGUCAAAAUUAUUCUACAUGAACUACGUCAAAUGUAAAACUCUGUCAUAUUUAGUAAAAAACUAGGUCACUUGGUCAUAUUAUAGACAAAAUUGCAAACGUUGUUGAGGCCACAUUUGCUACCUGACAUGCAUGAAACUUUAUCAGAAUGUUUGUCCUUUUACAACUUAUGUUAAAGUAAGUUAAAUACUAGGCGAUUGUUAACACUCCACAGGGAACAUUAUCUACCUGAUCUACAUGAAAUCUUGGGUCAGAAUGUUUUUCUUUUUUGUCCAGGUUUAAAUUGGGUCAUCUGCUUCACUCUGGUGAGCAAUACAGGGCUUUCACAGCCCUCUUGUUAUAUAUAUUAGAGAAAUAGAUGUGAGGUGUAUAGAUAGAGCCUCAGACACUAUAGACUGUGGUUCUCAUCCCAUGCCGUAUUUAGCCUUAAGCCAGUAAUUUGUUUACAUGAGUUGUGAUAAGUUUCCAGUGCAAUGAAUAUGAAAUAAAUAAAUGAAUACAUAGAUGUUAUUAAAAUUCCACUGUAUGGGACAUGUUGAAAUUUGAGAAUAAUGAUCAAAUGAUGUAACCAGUUAACUCAAGACAAUAUACAACUACUGACACCAUGUUUUACCUAAAAUCAGCGAUAAAUGUCUUACAUACAAGGGAAACUUCAUUGCUAUUGUUAUAUUUUAUGUGAUAAUUUUUAAUGCAGUUGUGGUAUUGAACAUCAGUUCCUGAAUCUUUGUAAAGAGGACAGAUGUUUGUGUCAGUGCAAAAAAGAAAUAUCUCACACUAAGUGAACACCGGAUACAGUACUUCCAUCAAUGUAAGGUCUUGUGUUCAUAAGUGAAAGAUAUUUGACAUUAUAUGUAAAACAAGCAAACAUUCUUUUAUUUCAUAUCAUUACAGGUUUUAACAAAAUUUUACGGAUGUUGUAGUUGUGUAUUGGUAUUUUCACUGUGAAAUAACAUGAUAAAUUGAAUGUUUAAGGUAGUGGAUCUGUAAUAACAUUCAGCAUUUGAGCCGCACCUUGAGAAAACCAACAUAGUGCGCUUGCGUUCGCUUUCAAAGCCUAUUGCAAUUAGAGAAACCGUUAGCGAACAGCAUGGAUCCUGACCAGACUGCGCGGAUGUGCAGGCUGGUCUGGAUCCAUGCUGGUCGCAAAUGCACUAUGUUGGUUUUCUCAUGGCAUGGCUCAUUUGCUGUUUGAAAUGGAAUAUUAGCAUUUUCCAGUUGUUAUAAAAAUAAUUUUCUGUUCUGACCAAAGGAUGCUGAAAUAGUACAUAAUGAUAUGUGAACACAUGAAAAAUUCCAAGUGUUGUUACAGGUCAACAACCUGACUAUCAUUAGAAUGUAAAAAUAUGAAAGAACGUAAGAAUUUCAUAUUUUUAGAGAAUAAUGAGAAGUAUUGAAAAACAUUCCAAGGAUGGUGAUAUUCUGGUAGAUUUAUCUAAGGAAUUGUGACAUCUUGUUUUUGGUCGAGACCUUUCAGUCAAAGUCAGAAGUUUGGUUUUACUGUGAAAGUUAAUAAACAUGUUUCUUUAGUAAUAGUUGUGUUUUGAGGAUGUAACAGAUUUUCUCCCUAGAUUUUACCAAGUGAUAUUUUCUGGUUUUUAUUCCAGUCUGAGUGCUAUGUACAUGUGUUCAGUAUCGUUUUAAAGUUUUUGUUUUCUGUGUUCUGUAAUCUUAUGUCAGAUGUGAUAUACUGUAUUUAUGUUUUUCUGUUAAAGAUAUGUUUAUGUACUUGUAGUUCCUUGGACAGCAAUAUAUAAUGGGACACACUUUGUAAUGCUCUUACUUUACCAAGCUAACAGUGUAGGCAGUGAGGCCAAAUUCCAAACAAGAAAAUAGGUUUAACAUCUCUUGGAAGGAAAAAGGUCUUAAAAUACAGUCAGAAUUGAAACUAGAAAGCUACAGAUUAAACUGCCACUGAAAUUUCCAUUUUGCAUCCAUUAAAUGAAAAAAAACUUUAAAAAAAUUCCUUCCAGCCAUGGAUGUGGUAUUGUGAACCAGAAAGACAGUGAGAAUAAUUUUGCUACUUGACCUUGAGCUUAAAACAACCAACUGAAUAACAUAUGUGGUGAAAGACAUGAUGAAUUGAAGUUUUUUUUCUUAGGUGAUGGUUAUUAUUUCAACUUGUAUUCCAUUAAUGUAGGUAUGAUGAUGGAGUUGAAAAAUGUAUUAAAUUUUAUUGAUGUUAUCAUACAGUGUUACAAAUUACUUGUAAAAUGUAAGGAAUGUAUGGUCAAAUACAGAUAAUUUUAUUCUUGGUAGAAUGUUUUAAAGAAGGUAAGAAAGUCUUAGGAUGUCCAUGAUUAUUUUAUUUGUGUCAUAUAUAUGAAAAUUUCAUUUUGUAGAACUGUGUUUAUUUUGGAAAUAUUGCACAAAGAUAUGACAAUUUUGCUUUCUUAUCUAAUAACUAUUUACUUAAUUACUUCGCACAAAAAUACAUAAUUAUGAACUUAUUUAGAAAAAAAGUGUUUGAACUGAAAUACUGCAACACACAACUAAAUGGUUUUAAGGACUGACAUAUAUAUUAGGGAUGAAAGGUUGGUAAGGGUUUCACAGGAGAAAUCUUGUUGUUUUGCUGUAUGAGGAUUUUUUGUCCAUUCAUGAUGAAAUCAUGUCUCAUGUAAGUUUAUUAGUUCCUUGUAAAUUGUGUUGUGUAUUAUAUGUGUAACUAUGAUAGUUAUAAUGAAUGCCUCUUAUUUUAACAGAUUGGAUUAAUCUUUGCUUGCACAACUUGCUAUAUAUUAUACAGUUAAAUUGUUUGAGAUGUAGCAGAAUAUUACGAAUGAAAAAGAAAACAACAAUAUUAGGUAUGUUGUACAAAGUUACAGUUCAUAAAAACAGCAGAUCAUUACCAGUUCUUUUUGUCUGAAAUCUUUAUAUGACUUUUUUAGACACUUGCUAAUAUUUAUUUUUCAAUUGAAUUCCAUUGUUGUGGUUUUGUUUAGACUAGCCACUAGACUGAUAAAGAAUUUGUCACAAAAUUUCAACUUUUGCAAUUUUUCUCUUGUUUUAUGUGAUAGUGACAAAGGCAAGUCUAUUUUAGAGAACUGGUUGUAAUAUUAUCAUAUAUGAUAUUUUACGUAGGAUAUAGACUGGCUACAUUCACAAUUAUAAAAAUUUAAAAAGUAUAUACCGUAGUCUAGGAGCUAGUCUAGGUCUUUUGUACAGUUUAGUCUGUGGAUUCAAAGGCAAAAUGGUUUAAUUUUGAAAAUUUUAGACGAAAUUCUAUGAAAAUAUGUCUUUUUAUCUUUGUAUUCGAAGUGCUUUUUUCAUGUACACUGCUUGAUUUUCAUGACAAAAUUAAUUUUAUGAAAAACUAGACCAACAAUAUAAAAUCAGACUGGAGUUUUGUCCUCCACCUGUUUCAAACAAAAAAAUAAAUCCUUUGAAAACCGGACUUCUGUCUGGUUUUCAGAAUUUUUACUGUACCUUCCUCCUAUGAAAAAGAGCACAUGUAUGUUUUUCAGUUUUCCCACAAAUUUAAAAAUGAAGUAUAAAGUAAGAUGAUUUAUAAUGAUAAAUAUUAAAAAAGCAGUCAGCAGUUGUAUACUUCCAGGUUAAGUUUUAAGUUAUUGUAUACAUAGCUAAAUAUAAUGUGUAGCAUUAUUAUGAUUGCAGUACUUUGGCUUAUGUAUCUAUACAUUGACUUACACUGGUAUGUGAACUUUCACUGGUGUCGUUUCAUUAGUAUCUUUCAUUUGCUUUUGUUAAUUUCUUACCUGAACAUGAUAAAAUAUUUCAUCAUAUUGUUUGCUUCUAUUUUCUCACCUGUUUAAAAGAAGAAAUCACAAAUCUUUAUAUCCAGAUACUAUAGGUACAAGUAUUUGGAGCAGUUACCAGUCAUAGAUAUUAGAAUAUACGAGGGUUGUCCCAAUAAAUUGUUCGCUCUUGGAAUAAAUCAUUUUAUUGAAGUCUGAUUUCAGUUAAUUUAAACACAUGUAUAUUUUGUCUAUUUCCAAGAAACUAUAAAAGAUUUUUAUUAAAGUCCGAUAUAUUCGAGUCGUGCAACCCAUAAGGUACAAUUAAGAAAUUGUGCUCCUACUUCAAACUGUUAUAACAGCAUAUUAUCAAAAUUUUUCGCUAAGCAUUCAUAUACAGUAUAUGUCGGCUUUAAUCAUUCUUAAGUCACGCUUUCAAAUUUGACAUUAUUAUCUAAAACAGUUUUCUUUCAUGUAUACAAGUGAUCAAACUCAUCAGCUAAAAAUGGCGAUGUCAGAAGAUGCCACGAUGCACCAGAAACUGGUCAGAUUCUGUGUAGAAUACUGGAUAACUCCUCCAUAAUUAUACUCUUGAAGAUGUUGCAACAUGUUGAGAGGCAUCAGAAUGUAAGUGGUAUCGCAGAUUUUCUAUGAGUCAUUCAGAAAUUGUGCCGCAAAGUCACCGAAUAGCUGCGAUUAUAAACAACAGAUGCAAGACGUCAUAAACAUCGACAGUGGACAAAUGCAAGAAGGAUCCGAUAUUACGAGAUGUUUAAACUAUACAACUGUACAGUGGCUAGUUUAAAUGUACCAACAAUUUAUAGACUUGUCAUGUAUUCUUAUGCAAUGAGUUCCUUGGCCAUUGUAAGUGUAUUGAGCUAGCAGGGAAUUAUUGUGAGAAAGGAUGCAUAGUGCUACAUGUGGUUGACUGUAAUAAUGUUUCAUUGUGCUGAGGUAGUGGCUAUGUCCUCCACUUCAUCUUCUUGUAGAAUCCUAAUUCUGAUACACAUUAUAUUGUUAUUAUCUGAGACUGUAAAAACCUUGUUAAUUAAUGCCAGUUGUUUUCCGUAUUAUUUCCAAUGUCAACAAUUUAAAAGGACAGCCCUCGUAUAUGAUUAGAAGAAUGUAGAAAAAAGCAACCCCCUUGACAUGUAGAGGAUGUUUUAUUGACUGGCAGUAUGUUUUAUAAAAAAUGUCCCUAUGGAGGGGAACAUCGUUAAUUCUGUUAUAAUUUCAUGUUUUAUGUAAAAGUCAAUAAAUAAUGUCAUAUAAAUGA